GCCAGCGUAGCUCAGCCGGCAGAGCAAUCGCUUCGUAAGCGAUGGGUCGAGGGUUCGAGUCCCUCCGCUGGCU
rnacentral:tRNA from 2 species